GCAAACUUGGUCAUUUAGAGGAAGUAAAAGUCGUAACAAGGUUUCCGUAGGUGAACCUGCGGAAGGAUCAUCGCCAAACUCUGCAAAUCAUCUGGUGGUUACACCGCUCUCAACUCGAGAGCACCGUCCCCAAUGAUUUCUUUGUCAACCAGUUGCACUUUGUUAAUGCCCUUUGGUUUAGUCUUGUCUCUCCGGAGCAGGCUAGGCCGCCUUUUUACAACUAAACUCUGCAUUCAUUUGCCCAGUUAACACAACCCACAAUCACACUUACAAAACAAAUUACAACUUUCAGCAACGGAUCUCUAGGCUCUCGCAUCGAUGAAGAACGCAGC
rnacentral:misc_RNA from 1 species